GAUGAACGCUAGCGACAGGCUUAACACAUGCAAGUCGAGGGGCAUCGGGACGUAGCAAUACGUUGCCGGCGACCGGCGGAUGGGUGAGUAACGCGUAUGCAACCUGCCCACGACAGGGGGAUAGCCCGUUGAAAGACGGAUUAAUACCCCAUAAAACAGGGGUUCCGCAUGGGACUAUUUGUUAAAGGGUUUUCCGCGAGGGGGAUCCGGUUGUGGAUGGGCAUGCGUUCCAUUAGGCAGUUGGUGGGGUAACGGCUCACCAAACCGACGAUGGAUAGGGGGAACCGGGAGGUUGGUCCCCCACACUGGUACUGAGAUACGGACCAGACUCCUACGGGAGGCAGCAGUGAGGAAUUUUGGUCAAUGGACGGAAGUCUGAACCAGCCAAGUCGCGUGAAGGAAGGCGGCCCUAAGGGUUGUAAACUUCUUUUGUAAGGGAAUAAAGGCCGGUACGCGUUACCGGUUUGCAGGUACCUUACGAAUAAGCAACGGCUAACUCCGUG
rnacentral:rRNA from 1 species